GGAAAAUAGAAUAGUCAACCAUGGGAAGUGGGACCUUCACCCUUAGUUCACCAUUUGCAUUUUUCUCAAGGAAGAAAUUGGAUCUACUUGGCUCUGCUUACUAAGCCUGUCGUGGUGCCAGUGGUCACUCUGGGACCUGAAGAUGCAAGAGCAGAACAUUGCCCUGAUGGGACAUCAGAUGGCAAGUUAAAGACAGUUCAUUUUGAUGCCUCUGAUUCUCUCUAAUCUAAACAAUCCAAAUCUGCUUCAGAGGACAGGUCUCCUUCCUGAUUUAAACACAACUUCCAGGAAACAUGUAGCCUGUAUAUCACCUGCAGAAAUAUCCUAGGGAUUCAGAGAGGCACUUCCCACUGAUCUCACAUAUUUGCUAGUUGGAUAUGAAGUACAAUGCUCUGAUGAUACUAUGCAGCGGCAGUAAGCCAAGACUGCCAGUCAACAAUGUGAUCACUGGAGGAACAAUUGAUUCUCAUCAGACUGAACAUUUGGUGCUGAUGUUUCCUAAUGCCACCAAAAUGAUACCACAAAAGCCCAGAAGGCUGAUGCACUCUGAUGGAAUUUUCCAUUUCACCUAGGGAAAGAAAAAAAAUGUAAGAAGCAAUAUCUUUGUCUAGGCUGAAAGUGUGGGCCUGAGAUAAGGUGGUAUCCCAUAUCACAGUUCUAUCUUUCUGCUUCCAUCAUUUUAACACUGAAAAUGUAAAAGUUUAUGAAGAAACAUUAUUAAAUGACUUUAGCCAGAAA